GACGAACGCUGGCGGCGUGCUUAACACAUGCAAGUCGAACGAAGUGGCGAACGGGUGAGUAACGCGUAAUCAACCUGCCCUUCAGAGGGGGACAACAGUUGGAAACGCCUGCUACUACCCCAAACUGAAGGAGGGGAUUGCGUCGGAUUAGCUAGUUGGAGGGGUAACGGCCCACCAAGGAGAUGAUAAGUAGCCGAUCUGAGAGGAUGAACGGCCACAUUGGGACUGAGACACGGCCCAGACUCCUCCGGGAGGCAGCAGUGGGGAAUCUUCCGCAAUGGACGAAAGUCUGACGGAGCAACGCCGCGUGAGUGAUGACGGCCUUCGGGUUGUAAAGCUCUGUUAAUCGGGACGCGGUACCGGAAUAGAAAGCCACGGCUAACUACGUGCCAGCCGCCGCGGUAAUUC
rnacentral:rRNA from 1 species